rnacentral:rRNA from 1 species
AUUCCAGCUCCAAUAGCGUAUAUUUAAGUUGUUGCAGUUAAAAAGCUCGUAGUUGAACUUCUGGUAGGAGUGACCGGACCGUUGGACGAAUGUCCUCUGUUUGUCUUGUGUCAUCUCUGGCCAUCUUCGCUGGCAUUUUUUUGUCAGCGUCUUUCACUGUAAAUAAAUUAGGGUGUUCCAAGCAGGUUUUUUGCCGGAAUAUUUCAGUAUAGGAUGAUAAGAUAAGCUUUGAUGCUAUUUUGUUGGUUUGCACAUCAAGAGAAUGAUUAACAGGGACAGUUGGGGGUAUUCGUAUUCAGAUGUCAGAGGUGAAAUUCUUAGAUUUUCGGAAGGCGAACUACUGCGAAGGCAUUUACCAAGGAUGUUUUCAUUA